AGAGUUUGAUCCUGGCUCAGAACGAACGCUGGCGGCGUGCCUAACACAUGCAAGUCGAACGGAGUUGAGGGGCUUGCUCCUCAAUUUAGUGGCGCACGGGUGAGUAACGCGUAGAUAAUCUGCCUGACGAUCCGGGAUAACACUUCGAAAGGGGUGCUAAUACCGGAUAAGCCCACGGGGACUUUGGUCUUUGCGGGAAAAGGGGGGGACCUUUUGGCCUUCUGUCGUCAGAUGAGUCCGCGUACCAUUAGCUAGUUGGUAGGGUAAAGGCCUACCAAGGCUACGAUGGUUAGCUGGUCUGAGAGGAUGAUCAGCCACACUGGAACUGAGACACGGUCCAGACUCCUACGGGAGGCAGCAGUGGGGAAUUUUGCGCAAUGGGCGAAAGCCUGACGCAGCAACGCCGCGUGAGUGAUGAAGGCUUUCGGGUCGUAAAGCUCUGUCGAGGGGAAAGAAGUGUAUUGUGGUUAAUACCCAUGAUACUUGACGGUACCCCUAAAGGAAGCACCGGCUAACUCCGUGCCAGCAGCCGCGGUAAUACGGGGGGUGCAAGCGUUGUUCGGAAUUAUUGGGCGUAAAGCGCGUGUAGGCGGUUUGAUUAGUCUGAUGUGAAAGCCCUGGGCUCAACCCAGGAAGUGCAUUGGAAACUGUCAGACUUGAAUACGGGAGAGGGUAGUGGAAUUCCUAGUGUAGGAGUGAAAUCCGUAGAUAUUAGGAGGAACACCGGUGGCGAAGGCGGCUACCUGGACCGAUAUUGACGCUGAGACGCGAAAGCGUGGGUAGCAAACAGGAUUAGAUACCCUGGUAGUCCACGCCGUAAACGAUGAGUACUAGGUGUUGCGGGUAUUGACCCCUGCAGUGCCGCAGCUAACGCAUUAAGUACUCCGCCUGGGAAGUACGGUCGCAAGACUAAAACUCAAAGGAAUUGACGG
rnacentral:rRNA from 1 species